UACGGAGGAUGCAAGCGUUAUCCGGAAUGAUUGGGCGUAAAGCGUCCGCAGGUGGCUAUGUAAGUCUGCUGUUAAAGAGUGAGGCUCAACCUCAUAAGAGCAGUGGAAACUACAUGGCUAGAGUGCGUUCGGGGCAGAGGGAAUUCCUGGUGUAGCGGUGAAAUGCGUAGAGAUCAGGAAGAACACCGGUGGCGAAAGCGCUCUGCUAGGCCGCAACUGACACUCAUGGACGAAAGCCAGGGGAGCGAAUGGG
rnacentral:rRNA from 1 species